CCUGACAUGCAGAGAACUUCCAGAGAUGGAUUGGUGCCUUCGGGAACUCUGACACAGGUGCUGCAUGGCUGUCGUCAGCUCGUGUCGUGAGAUGUUGGGUUAAGUCCCGUAACGAGCGCAACCCUUGUCCUUAGUUACCAGCACGUUAUGGUGGGCACUCUAAGGAGACUGCCGGUGACAAGCCGGAGGAAGGUGGGGGAUGACGUCAAGUCAUCAUGGCCCUUACGGCCUGGGCUACACACGUGCUACAAUGGUCGGUACAAAGGGUUGCCAAGCCGCGAGGUGGAGCUAAUCCCAUAAAACCGAUCGUAGUCCGGAUCGCAGUCUGCAACUCGACUGCGUGAAGUCGGAAUCGCUAGUAAUCGUGAAUCAGAAUGUCACGGUGAAUACGUUCCCGGGCCUU
rnacentral:rRNA from 1 species